rnacentral:lncRNA from 1 species
AGCUGUGGGAGUCAAUGCGUCAUUGAAGAAGAAGGUCUCAGAUUGAGUCCUAGAAAGCAAACUAUGUAAGGACUAGGUGGAGGAAUUUUGAAGGACAGCCAAAGACAAUCAUCAGUCACUUGAAAAGGAACCCUGGGAUGAUUCCAGUUCCUCAGGGUCUGUGGAAGCCAGCAGCUGGGCUGGAUGGUGGGGCUGGCUGUGUUCUUUGUGUGGCAUGAGAGGUGGAAGGGAGUGACCUGACCCACGCUGCACUGAGGCAGCAGGCUCCAGGUUGGAGCCCAUUGGCAUUCGUCCCGGCAGAGUGCUGUUACAUCCUUGUUGGUGUCAAACAGCCUGGCUUAGGCUCCUGGUCUUCCACGGAAAAGCUGAGUGAUUGUGCCCAAGUCAUUUAAUGUUGAAUGUUGGAUUCUACAUCUAUAAAAUGUAGGGCUGUCUUCAGAGUUCAUGAAUCUAAUUAUAACAGGUUUUCUGAAUAGGAUCCUUCCUAUAAAGGUGCCUAGCUUGGGGUUGCCAGGGGUACCUCAAAACUUCUGGACAAACCUGAGGAGUGAGCCUCUCUUUCACGACCCACACAACGUUCCUCCCCUUCCUGGUCAUCGGGUGCCAGCCUUUGCCCACAGAACCUGUUUAUCUUGAAGGUGGGGACAGGCUCCCCUGCUGUAUCCCAUCCUGAUUCUUCUAAGGUGUGGCAGAAUAGGCACUGGACCAAGACCUUUUCCACUAGAUGAAGACGUGAGGGCUGAAAAGAUUGCUUUAGUUCCACCUCUGAACCACAGCCUUUCUGAAAGCACCUGCCACACACACCCAGGACACACAUCUAAGUUCUUCUCUGGCCGCUCCAGGACCUCUCUAGAGAGGUCAUUGCUGCCUGGCCUAAAGUCUGUUCAUUUCACUCCAACGAACUUACUCCCAUUUAACUUUCUCCCCACUUCAGUUCACCCCCAAACUUCCCAAACGACAUUUCUUUUCUUUUCUUUUUGGUCUUUUUGCCUUUUCUGGGACCACUCCCAUGGCAUAUGGAGGUUCCCAGGCUAGGGGUCGAAUCGGAGCUGUAGCCACCGGCCUACACCAGAGCCACAGCAACACGGGAUCCGAGCCACGUCUGCAACCUACACCACAGCUCAUGGCAACGCCAGAUCCUUAACCCACUGAGCGAGGCUAGGGAUCAGACCCGCAACCUCGUGGUUCCCAGUCAGAUUCGUUAACCACUCAGCCAUGACGGGAACUCCUAAAUGACAUUUCUGCUAGGAAGAAAAGAGUUUUUAGGGAACUUGAAGAAAAGGAGUUAACAAACUUGAGUCAUUGGCCCACCGGGAGGGAUGUCUGCUCCAGGCCAGGCCUUGGACUCUCAGCCACAAGUGGGACAGGAGUUGCUCAGUCUGGAGAGGAAUAUGGUCAGGCCUCUCCCGUCACUUCCCACUCAUACUGCCCUCCCUCUUCACUCAUCCAGCAGCCCCUGGCCCCUGCCAAGCCCUCAACUUAGCAAGGAAGACAAAGAGCCUGAAAGGUGAACAUACAGAGUAUCCAGUAAGUCACCAAGCCAUGAGGACAGCAUCCCUGCCCUUGUGACGACCCUGGCACAGUUCUGACCCGGGCCUCACCCCUCUCUCGUGGAUCACUGUACCCCAUCCCUGGUUCCUUCACUCUUGCCCUCUCCAGCAUCUGUACCAUGUAGGAGCUGCUACAGUGAGCUCUUGAAAACAGAUAGGGACUUGUCAAAACUUUCAAAGGAUCAACUUAAAAUUCCAAGUAUGGUAUUCAAGGCCUUUCCCAGGAACCUCUAAUUUAUCUUUGCAUCUUCAACUCCCAAUAUUUACCUCCCUAGUCACACUAAGCCUGGAGUGUUGUCCAGCCAUAUCCUGUUAUUCCCAUCUCUAUACCUCACCCUCAGUGCCCUCUCCGUCUUGACGCUGCUCCUUAGCUGGAAAACUUGACCACCUCAAAACCCAUGUGGUAGGUUAAGUUUGGCCACAAAUUUUUGGAACUACUCUUCACACUUGGUAUCUGGGCUGGUCUUGUGACUUGCUUCCAUCAACAGAAUGUGUUGGAAGUGAUGUUGCAAGUUCCAAAGCUCAGGCCUCAAGAGGGCCUGUAGGUCCACCUUAACCAUGUUGGAACCUUGAGAACAUGCCAGGAAGCCACCCAGGAUGAAGGAGAGUGGGGAGACCCAGCCACUGCAGUUGAGCCCAGCUCUCAGCUAAUAUAUUAGCUGAAUAGAGCCACAUGAGAGAGCCCAGAUGGGCCCAGUGCAAAAUCUCCCAGGCAACCCACAGAAUUUGAGAAAUAAUGAAUGCUAGUUGUUUUAAGCCAUUGGGUUUUGGGAUGGUUUGUUACACAGCAGCAGGUAACUGAUACAUUGCAGUUCUAAUUGAAGUCACUCCAGUCGACUUCCCCAAGUUCUAUCUAUGUUUGUACACAUCAAAUCACUUUCUAGGCAUUUAGUAUCUGGCUCUCCCAAGAGAUGGUGAGCUCCUGAGGAUCAGGGCUGAGUCUGAUUCAUCUCCUUCCUGACCACUUACAGUGGUAAUAGGAUGAAGCCCUUGCUCACUGGUCAGAUUCAGUAUACUCAGGUGUCAUUAAUGUGUCUAGAAAGUAUGCCUAGGUGGAGUUCCCAUUGUGGCUCAGCAGAUUAGAACCUGACUAGUAUCCAUGAGGAUGUGGGUUCAAUCCCUGGCAUCGCUCAGUGGGUGAAGGAUCUGGCAUUGCUGUGAGCUGUGGUGUAGGUUGUAGUCGUGGCUCAGACUGCUCAUUGCUGGGGCUGUGGUGGAGGCCGGCAGCUGCAGCUCUGAUUCAUCCCCUAUCCCAGGAACUUCCCAUAUGCCACAGGUGCAGCCCUAAAAAGAUAGAAAAGAAAGUAUACCUAGAUGAACAUUUUACAUGGAAAUUACUCAACAAAGAUUUUUAAAGCCCAUCCUAUGUAAACAGAACAGGCCCCAGGCCCUGAAGUUGCUCUCAGUCUAGCAGGGAAAACCGGUUAUUAAAAGCAUCAAAUGGAAUACUACUCAGCCAUAAAAAAGAACAAAAAGUGCAAUUUGCAGCAACACAGAUGGAACUAGAGACUCUCAUACUAGGUGAAGUCAGAAAGAGAAAGACAAAUACCAUAUGAUAAUCACAUAUCUGGAAUCUAAAAUAUGGCACAAAUGAGCCUUUCCGCAGAAAAGAAACUCAUGGACUUGGAGAAUAGACUCGUGGUUGCCAAUGGGGAGGGGAGAGAGUGGGAUGGAUUGAGAAUUUGGGGUUAAUAGAUGCAGACUAUUGCCUUUGGAAUGGAUAAGCAAUGAGAUCCUUCUGUGUAGCACUGGGAACUAUAUCUAGUCACUUAUGAUGCAGCAUGAUAAUGUGAGAAAAAAGAAUCUAUACAUGUCUGUGUAAUUGGGUCACCAUGCUGUACAGUAGAAAAUUGACAGAACACUGUAAACCAGCUAUAAUGAAAAAA